GCACGUUUUGAUCUUUCGAGAAGGAGACUCCACAACCUCUCUGGGCAGUCUGCUCCAGUGCUUGGUCACCUUCACAGCCCCAGCCUGUGAGCACCACACUCACGAUAAGGGGAAGUUUGCUGCGAAGAGAGGAGUCUCCUACUACCAUCUCCUGCUUGGAUUCCUUCUCAGCUCUUGAGAACAGUCGUCGUGGAUCCUCAAGUCAGUAAUUGGUUGGAAAGUCCCUCUCACUUGAAGAUGACCAGUCCUUAAGGAAAUGCACAUCCUCUCUUUGCCUCCUAAGUUCUGAGGGGAAAGACUCUCUGGCCCUGUAAGAAACUUGAGUAAUUGAUGUGUUUUGUCAUUUGA